AGAAUGGAGAGUGUAGCCAUCAAUUAAAUGUGAAAUUAUCAUAAAAUAGCAACACACUAUACUCGUUAACAUAUCAUCAUUAGUACAGAAAAUAACCAUCGUGAAAAAAUAAAAUAAAACCAACUAUGGCAAAAUUAUAAAUAUUGAAAGCUUUUUAAUUAACAAUGAUUGUUUGUAUAACCAUAGUUAAAAAUAACUUUGGACACAUAUGGCAACAAUUUCUUUAUGAACCGUCAUUAAGACUCAUCUAGUGCAUUUUUAAAACGACGAUUCUUUGCAUUAUCCGUUGUUAAAAGACCUUUUCUCAUGCGCAUCAACCUUUCUUUCCUGUUCUCUGUUCUCUUUCUCGAAUGCACAAAACACCCAUUUUGCAUUGUAUGUUUUCCGAGUCGCAAUGCCAUAACAAUCUUUGCGAGCAUCACAUUUCUUCCUAGCUUUCACAUCGUAUUUCUUCUCCCCUG
rnacentral:lncRNA from 1 species